AUGUGGUUUGUUCAUAAACAAGUAAUUUUAACUAAGGAUAACUUGAAGAAGCGCAAUUGGACAGGACCUACUAGGUGUAGUUUCUGUGAUCGGGAUGAGUCUAUUAAACACCUCUUUUUUGAUUGCCCGCUUGCAAAGGUUCUAUGGCAGACGGUCCACAUUGCUUUUAACAUCAAACCACCGAAUUCUGUUAGUACUUUGUUUGGGACAUGGCUUAAUGGGAUUGAGCCCAACUUAGGGAGACAUAUUCGGGUGGGGGUUUGUGCUUUGCUGUGGACCAUCUGGAACUGCAGAAACGAUUUGGUCUUUAACAGAACAUCAUAUAUACAUUUUUUGCAGGUUUUAUUCCGGACUACGGCUCUGAUUCGUUCAUGGUCGCUACUCACCCAGACGGAGGCCAGGGAGCAUUUGGUUACUGGGUCUGUCCGUUGGGAGAUGGUAGCUCGGGAUAUCUUCAACCGGUUUGGAUGGCGGUCAUGUAAUAGGAUAGGCAUUUAG
rnacentral:rRNA from 1 species